CGCCGCUGCUGGGGGGCGGCCUGCUGCUGGCCGCGCGCGACGGUCUGUGGCGGUUCGAUCCGCACAGCGGCGA
rnacentral:tRNA from 1 species